UAUUACUUGAAGUCGUGUUUGGUCGGCGAAGCUGCCUCUUUGGUUACGACUUUGGAAUGUACGAACGAAAACUACGUGAAGGCAUGGUCUGCGAUUACAUCAAGAUAUGACAAUAAGCAGCGCUGCCAAGCAUUAGAUAUGCUAUGCCGUGAUGAAGCAGUGAGCACUACAAAGGUCGUGCCUCCGGCAAAGAGCACUAGUCAUGUGACUGUUGGCAGCGGCAGAAGUGCAAAUGGAGAAAAGGUGCGAACAGAGCUACCUUGAUUCUGUGUCCAGGGAUGAAGAAGGAAGGUAUCAUGUCGAUUUGCCAAUAAACAAAGAACUUCUACCAAAACUAGGUAAUUCUUACAAUGUUGCUUUUCGUUGUCUUAUGUCAUUGGAGAAAAAAUUCCAAAAUAAUUCUGACUUUUUUAAGGCCUAUAAAGCAUUUAUUGAGGAAUUUCUUAAACUUGGCCAUGCUCACUUUGUUCAUAUAAAUCCACACAAAAGUGAUGAAAUUGAAUAUUACAUGCCUCAUCAUGCUGUCUUGAAGGAAAGUUCCUCUACUACCAAGCUUAGGAUUGUAUUCAAUGGUUCUCAACCCACUUCUACGGGCUUGAGCUUAAAUGAUGUACUUCUUGUGGGUCCUGUUGUUCAACCUGACAUGUUUACCAUACUUCUGAGAUUUCGUACCUAUGUUUAUGUUUUUGUGUCUGAUAUAACUAAAAUGUACAGGCAAAUUCGAGUGAAACCUCAGUAUCAAGCACUUCAGCGCAUCCUGUGGAGAGAUGAUCCAUCGCAUGAUAUACAGUGUCUUCAGCUGGAUACUGUUACAUAUGGAACAGCAUCAGCCAGUUACCUUGCUACACGGACAUUGGUGAAAUUGGUUGAGGAUGAAGGUGAUAAUUUUCCAUCUGCU